CAGCCGCCGCGGUAAUACGGAGGGGGCUAGCGUUGUUCGGAAUUACUGGGCGUAAAGCGCACGUAGGCGGCUUGGUAAGUUAGAGGUGAAAGCCUGGAGCUCAACUCCAGAAUUGCCUUUAAGACUGCCGAGCUAGCAGGUGAGAGAGGUAAGUGGAAUUCCGAGUGUAGAGGUGAAAUUCGUAGAUAUUCGGAAGAACACCAGUGGCGAAGGCGGCUUACUGGCUCAUACUGGACGCUGAGGUGCGAAAGCGUGGGGAGCAAACAGGAUUAGAGACCCGCGUAGUCCCUGUCUCUUAUAC
rnacentral:rRNA from 1 species